rnacentral:rRNA from 1 species
GCCAGCAGCCGCGGUAAUUCCAGCUCCAAUAGCGUAUAUUAAAGUUGUUGCAGUUAAAAAGCUCGUAGUUGAACCUUGGGCCUGGCUGGCCGGUCCGCCUCACCGCGUGUACUGGUCCGGCCGGGCCUUUCCUUCUGGAGAACCGCAUGCCCUUCACUGGGUGUGUCGGGGAACCAGGACUUUUACUUUGAGAAAAUUAGAGUGUUCAAAGCAGGCCUUUGCUCGAAUACGUUAGCAUGGAAUAAUAGAAUAGGACGUGCGGUCCUAUUUUGUUGGUUUCUAGAACCGCCGUAAUGAUUAAUAGGGAUAGUCGGGGGCGUCAGUAUUCAAUUGUCAGAGGUGAAAUUCUUGGAUCUAUUGAAGACUAACUACUGCGAAAGCAUUCGCCAAGGAUGUUUUCAUUAAUCAGUGAACGAAAGUUAGGGGAUCGAAGACGAUCAGAUACCGUCGUAGUCUUAACCGUAAACUAUGCCGACUAGGGAUCGGGCGAUGUUUCUAUA